rnacentral:rRNA from 1 species
CCUACGGGUGGCAGCAGUGAGGAAUAUUGGUCAAUGGACGCAAGUCUGAACCAGCCAUGCCGCGUGCAGGAUGACGGCUCUAUGAGUUGUAAACUGCUUUUGUACGAGGGUAAACCCCGAUACGUGUAUCGGGUUGAAAGUAUCGUACGAAUAAGGAUCGGCUAACUCAGUGACAGCAGCCGCGGUAAUACGGAGGAUACGAGCGUUAUCCGGAUUUCUUGUGUUUAAAGGGUGAGUAGGCGGGUUGAUAAGUUCGAGGGGAAAUGUGGGGGCUCAAACCCGAAACUGCCUUGAAUACGGUUGGACUAGAGAAUAGUUGGGGUAGGCGGAAUGGAUGGUGUAGCGGUGAAAUGCUUAGAGAUAAGACAGAACACCGAUGGCGAAGGCAGCUUACCAAACUAUAUCUGACGCUGAGGCACGAAAGCGUGGGGAGCAAACAGGAUUAGAUACCCGUGUAGUC